rnacentral:lncRNA from 1 species
CCUUUUUGAAUUAAAGAAGUGGCAUUUCUUUGAUUAUGGAAAGCGUCUCUUGAAAUCUUAGCUUUGCCCGCGUUAAGGGAAGGAGCAUGUCAACAGCCAGGAAGAGAUCCUGUUCUCAGAGACAGCGAUGCUCAGAAGCAAUGCAGUUGCGAAGAAAAUCUUUGCCACAUGAAAAUGCACUGCACCACACGGUUAUUCUUUACCAGGUACAAUUUAUUUCUUCAUCAUGUUAGUAAAGUCAAAGAUUCAAGAUUUCAUUUUCGUUGGCUCUCAUUCAUUGAAGACAUGUUUCUUUUUUGCUUGUUAACUACAUGAUUGUUCUUUUCAUGAAUGGUUAAGUAGCAAGGAGAUACGCCCAAAAUUUAUCAUGGGUAAUGCUUAGUGUUGUUUGUUGCUUGGCCACCGGAAUCCUAUGUUCCAGUUGGAACAUACGCGUGUAAUGGAAUCUAAAACAUGGGUGGAGCAUACUCCGGGCAGGAAAUUUGCUGGGUUUGUAAUUACUUUAAGGUGCCAACCGACCAUCAUUGUGCUCUCAUGCAUAUAUUCAAACUUGCAAAAGGCUGGGGUUGCCCAGAUGAGUUCUUUGUUGCUUUCGGUAGAAGGAAUUUUGACAAAAUAGAAACACAUAAACAAUUACUGCUUAUUGAGAAAUCGCAAUUAUUAUCUUUCCCAGUUCCUGAUCUAAUCGUUUUGUUUGACUGCAGCCUCACUUGC